CUUCAGUCAGUUCGGUCAAGCAAGGCAAUGACUUGAACUCGGCAAACUUCCAAGAUACAGAGGACAUUCUUGACAGAUGUGUCUUGGAAGAGUCGGAGAGUGCAGGUCAGCCAAGACAUCGUCCAUGGAUAGCGAAGGUGUGCUCCUGCAGGAUGUGCUAGAUGGAUGGAGUCCCGAAAAAGGAAUUCAAUCUGAAUUAACAGAGAUGCACAAGCACACUAUCUCUUUACCAUCAAAUAAAAGCAACGUUGUCAUUGGUCUG
rnacentral:lncRNA from 1 species